rnacentral:rRNA from 1 species
UACGAAGGGGGCUAGCGUUGCUCGGAAUUACUGGGCGUAAAGCGCACGUAGGCGGUCUUUUAAGUCGGGGGUGAAAUCCUGGAGCUCAACUCCAGAACUGCCUUCGAUACUGGAAGACUUGAGUCCGGGAGAGGUGAGUGGAACUGCGAGUGUAGAGGUGAAAUUCGUAGAUAUUCGCAAGAACACCAGUGGCGAAGGCGGCUCACUGGCCCGGUAUGACGCUGAGGUGCGAAAAGCGUGGGGGAGCAAACAGG